GGCGAGGCUGGCUGCUGCUCUUGCCCCGAUACCAUUGCUCAUUGCUCCUGCUGCCUGCAAUUCCUAUAGAUUGUGAACGUGGUGAGGGCGAGGGAGCCGGGACUCUUGCUAUCUUUUCCUCCUGUCGCCCCUUCCUCCUGCCUGCGCCGGGCCACGAAGGCGUUCAGGGGAGACUUGGCGAAAGACUGAGUAAAACCCCGAGCUGGCCCGGGAAGACCUCAUAGGCUAAGCCAGAAGACCAAAGAAAGCAGAGCCCUCCCAGCUUCCCUGCAAUAUCUUUGGUUUUGAUGAUGAUUCCUGUGGCUUGGCUUUCGUCGUGUCCAAUGCCGCCCUGGCUGGAGCAUGGACGAGGUGUGGUUUGUGACACUGGUGUUUAUCUGGUGAGAGCCAGGUCUGGAAUGAAGCAUCUCGGCUAGCUGAGGAUUCCUUUGGGUUUUCAGCCCCCUCCUUGCUCUGCAGCAGCAAGCACAGGGCACAGAGAUUGUGUGCAGCCUCGGAGACGCCAUCACAAGUCAACAUUUCUUGGACUGUUUUAGGUAUUUCAAAAUUCUUUUAAUCCUCACAGUCCUCUAAGAGUAGUUACUGAAAUUUUUGGUUUUUUUUUUUUUACCUUUCAAAUUGAUUUUAUUGGGAUAGAAUUUAUACACAGUAAAAUGCCCUCAUUGUAAGUGUGCAGUUUGAGUCCUGACAAGUGUAGACAGCUCUGUGACCUCUCCCCUGCAGUCAGGGCAUCGGCAUGUCUGUCAGUGGGCACCACUGCAUUAUCCUCCUUCCACAGAGCGGGAAACUGAGGUACAGAGGAGUUCAGCGACUUGCUCAAGGUCUCAUGGUUAGUAAGUCGUAGAACCGGAAUUGGAAGCCGGGCGCUUGGACUCCACAGCCCAUCUUCUUAACUUCUGGGCUGUCCUGGUUUCGGUCUCUUCUCUGUGGUCCUGCCUUUGCCCACCUGGCCCUGCUGCACAGGUGCGUUAAGGAGCAGGAUGACCCAGGCUCACAGUCUAAGCCCUGAAAGAGUCUUGGGGAGCGGGAGGCCCAGAGGUCGGCAGUGGGAAGGGAUAACACAGCUCCCAGCGUCCCUAGGAUCCCAGGGCCAGAGCGGGCAGAACUGCUUGCCUUAGGCGCAGGCCUUGCCGCUCCAAGCCUAUGGAGACUGGGCUGGACCAUGAGCCUCCUCGCAGGGUAUAAUGUCGGAUCUGAAAAAGGGCCUGGCUCCUGGCUCACGUAGGGACAUACGGAAGUACAGGUGGUGAGAAGACGCAGCAGUCCCCGCGGCAGGCUGCAGCCCGUUCUGGGCGAGGCACCGUAAGGGCGUCAUGGACAGGCCAGAGCGUAGGUAUGUAGAGGAGGCAGGAUGGAGAGGGGCCUUGAAAUCUAGUCCUUUAAAGAGGGGUUGCAGGAGCCAGGUUGGGAAGCCCUGAAAUGUAAUCAUUGUUUUCCUCCUCUUGACAGGCCGUUCUUUGGAAGAGAAACAUCAACUUGUUUUUCUUUGUGGCUUCAGAAGACAUAAUUAGAGCCCUGUGGGUGGGCCGGCAUAGAAAUUAAAGUGCGGUGGCUAUGGCAGCGCUCAUCAGAUGGUCAUUAGCUCGGAGUACAAAUAAGGCCAAUAUCUCCAUAUGCAGAUUAAAAUCUCUUGAACGCGUGUGAAAUUAUUAGGGAAUUCCAUUUGUCUCUCUUGGGAUGUUUCCUCCUCCCUCUUUCUGAAGUACUCAAGAAGUCUAAGGAGUCAGACUUAAAUCCAGAUAGAGGACUAGAGAAUCUUACCCAUCGGGUGAUCGGUCGCAGGUUCCAUGUUUUGGAUUCUGUUGAUGAUGACACAGUGUGGCUUUCUAGAAAGAACCUCUUACAGUAGUUUGUUUCCUUAUUUCCUGUGGCCGUGAGGACUUGGCUCUGCAAAAGUGACGGGUGUUAGUGUUCCUUCUGUGUCACACGUGGCCUGGGCUCCCCUGUGCUUGAGCUCUCAGGAGAUGCUCCUUAGUUUAUAUAUUUACAUAUCCACAUAACCUACAUGUCUAUAUANUCUAUGUAGUUUAUACACUUACUCUCUAGGCUCUAUAUCUGUAUAGUUUAUGUAUCUGUCUAGUCUGUAUGUCUGUAUAGUUUAUAUGCUUAUAUAGUCUGUAUAUCUACAUAUGCUCCUUUAUGGAGAAGGGAGCCCCUACAAUUCCUAGUUGGCUGAGCCCAGAAAUGUCUCUAGAUUUAGCCGCAUUUCAGUUCCAGAGCCAGCCGUCUUGGUAAUCGUUUUGGUUGUGGUGUUGAGCUCGGCACACCCCUUCAGACUUUCUCUCUUCUCAUCGUAAGCGCUUGCUGUAGGCUCUUACUGUCCCUUCCUACUUUGAACUUAUCUUAGUAUCUCUGUCAAAGAAAUUCUAAUAAUAUUGAACCUCAAAAGAAAGGGGUCUAGGUUUCAGUCUUUGUUCCUGGGAGGGAGUUGGACGCCGGGCGUAUUUGCAUUCAUCUGCCGUAGUAGGUUUUCAUACGCAGGGGUACUGGGAGCCAACUUGGCUGAGUCACCGAGGAUUACCUUGUAUCCUUUCCCCAAGGGGGGGGGGUGUGUGUGUGCCUGCUUGCAUCGUAUUUAGACAGUUAAAGGGGGUAAAAAGGCCCUCAAGGAAGCUCCUGUGGGGUGCGGAGGCUUAAGAAUCCGCGUUGCUAAAGCUGUGGUACAUGUUGCAGCUUUGACUCGAGUUUGGUCCCUGGCCUGGGAACUUUCACACGCCCCGGGUAUGGCACCCCCCAAAAAAGGCCCCCUCAAUGACAUACCUUCCCCAAGAGGACUUGAUGUCUCUAAGACAGAGAGGGGCUGACAACUUUUAUAAUGGUGGUUUUUCUCUAAUUAGUUUGAAAAAAAAAUUUUUUUGGCCCACCUAUAGCAUACAGAAGUUCCUGGGCCAGGAAUCGAAUCCGAACCACCACCGUAACCUGAGCCACAGCAUGACAAUGCUGGAUCCUUAACCAGCUGAGCUACCAGGGAACUCCCUUGAAUUGUUAUUUAAUGUGGUACCCUGCUAAUAAAUAAGAUUUUCAUACUGCAGUAACUCUCUGUCACUGGAGCGGGCCACCCAGAGAUAGGAGUGCUUUGGCAUUACAACAGUUAAACAGAGACUGGCUGCCUAGGGCCACGGGGACGAAAUGAUAAACCUCCUAUGAGACCGCCAUGCAGACGAGUGAGGGUAGAAUUAGCAGAGGUGAGAAGAGGCACCUCUGAACCUGGGUCUUGAAGCCCGUUCCUCUUUCCUCAGUAUCUGUACUCCCACCUGCUAGCUUUGUAAAGUACUGCUUUCCCUUAUAUUUGGGUCUAAUUUGGGCACAGGAGCUUUUCUGUAUUGUCGAGUAACUAAGCCCUAUGCAAAAUGUUUACUUGUUUUUUAUUUAUUGUUUUGUUUUGUUUUCGUCUUUUUCGGGCCACACCCACAGCAUAUGAAGGUUCCCAGACUAGGGGUUGAAUUGGAGCUGUAGCUGCUGGCCUACACCACAGCCAUGGCAGUGUGGGAUCCAAGCCACAUCUGUGACCUGCACCCCAGCUCACAGCAACCCUGGAUCCUUAACCCAGUGAGCUGGGCUGUGGUCAAACCCGCAUCCUCAUGGGUACUAGUCAGAUUUGCUGAGCCACAAUGACAACUCCCAAAAUGUUUAUUUUUUUAUUAAAAAUAUUUUUUGCCUCGCCUACAGCAUGUGGAGGUUCCUGGGCCAGGGAUCAAACCUGCACCACCCCGAGCUGCUGCAAUGACAAUGCCAGAUCCUUAACCUGCUCCGCCACAAGAGAACUUCUAAACAGGAUGUUUAGACAGGGAUUUUCUAAAGACUCAGAGACGGCAUUAAGAAAAUAAACAGGGUUGUUGAACGUCAGUAAUCUGGCUUACAGAAUGCUGUUUGAUAUGUAUAUCUCAGCAGGUAUCCGUAGGCGGUGCACAGUUAUCUGGUGAUGAGCUGGAGCAUGAGGAGAAACGGGCGGGGGUUAGGAUGAGUUUCGUCCACAAGGCCCUUCCAGCUCUGAGACUCCAUACGUCUUCUAGGUCCUUCCAUCCUGAACAUUCUAGAGCUGACUUUGUGCCGUGAUUCCUGGAAAUCUUGCAGGCCCAACAAGGGUCAGGACAGUGGGCGACUGUGACGGAGGUAAAGGGACCGCUGCUCUCAUUUCUGUAUUUCUCCCCGGUGCGGCUCUUCUCUUAGGCCGGAGAGAUGCAGACAGCAAACAGGGCCUCUUAUAUUGACCCCCACGGCCGUAUACUUUGGCCGUGAUGCUCCAUUGCCCUUUCCUCGCUUGGCCCCUCGACGUCUUGUGAGAUGGGCAGGAAAGUGCUUAUUCAGCUCCUCUUGGAGGCGAGCAGAUCGGCGUCCAGAGGAGCUGAGUGCCCUGCUUGUCUGAGUUGCACGCUGGACUGACUCGCGUCCUUAAUUCUCUGGAUGAACACCGUGGAAGCGGUGAAUGGAUCAGAACCGGAGCCCACACUCUCUGUCCCUCGGCCCGUGUCUUGCGUCCGUAUUAUUCCGAGCCUUCGGGGGCUUUCUGCGAGCCUCCCUGGGACUGGCUGGUUGUGCUGGCCUUCCUCUGGGGCUCCCUGGCUGGGGAGCUGCCACUGCGUGCCCGCGGGAGAGAGCCUCGUCCCGACCGUGCUCCCUGCAGAGAGGGAAGGGCAGACACAGGCCGCCCACUGGAAUUCUUUUUUUGUUCCUUGUUUUCUGGGAUCUUCAUAUGAUUGCUGACAGGAGUGACUCACAGACUUCACUGUGUGACUUUCUUGGUGGGGAGAACUGUUCCCUCAGCCCUAGAAGAACUCGGUUAAGAGGUGUGUGUGGUUGAGGCACUUGUGCUGAGCAGCUGUACCCAGCACCCAGCAGUUCUCUCUUCCAGCUGAGCCCCACCUACUGCUUUGGUUUGGUGACACGUGUGGCCACCCUGUGCCCAGGCGCGGGUCAGGUGCCGUGGGGAAGCCCUUCUCGAGCGGCUGAGGGUUCCGCUGGGGAGAGAAGGCACAUAUACCACAAACAGGAAGACAGCCUGAGAUGGUUUUGAAUAACGUGCCCAGUCACCUAGUGUGGCCGGGUUUAAAGUCCCGACGUGUCGAAGCGAGGGGUGGGGGUCCCGGGGCUGGGAGGUCUGGUGGGGGGCGCUUCCCGGUUGUGGGCCAUCGACGAGGUGACCCACUGGACCACCUUUUCCUUGCCUGUGAAACGGGCGCCGGGGAGGAGGCUUACCAAGUUGUGACCACUGAAGGAGCCUCGUGUGCCCAAAGCCCGCCCAGAGGGGCCGAUGCCCAGUAGGUGGUGAACCAGUGCCCGUUCUCUCCUUGCCUUUUCCAGGAGUUUUCCCAGAGGAACUCUGCCUGAGAGGGGGGUGAGGAUUUGGGGGAAGGAAGAGUAGACGCGGGCGAUGGGGAGCGGGAGGUGCAGAGGGGCAGGUCCCGUGAGCGUGGCAGUCUGGUGGGAGUGGAGGAAGAAGCAGUGAGAAGUAAAGCUAACGAGACAGACGUUUAGACUUUAUUUAAAAGAGACGUUGGUGUUCCCGUCGUGGCUCAGUGGUUAACGAAUUCGACUAGGAGCCAUGAGGUGGCGGGUUCGAUCCCUGGCCUCGCUCAGUGGGUUAAGGAUCUGGUAUUGCCGUGAGCUCUGGUGUAGGUUGCAGACUUGGGUCGGAUCCCAAGUUGCUGUGGCUGUGGUGUAGGCCGGCGGCUACAGCUCCGAUUAGACCCCUAGCCUGGGAACCUCCAUAUGCUGCAGGAGCGGCCCUAAAAAAAAAGAGAGAUGUUAUCAUGGGAAGUGUGUUUUGAGCUCUGUGUACAGUUGUGCAUGUACACAUAUGCACGCCCUUUUAGUACGCUGCAGGUUAGUGCAGUAGCUACGAGCUCGGACCCUUGAGCUGACUCCUUGUCUCUAAAUGCCACCAGUUAGUUUAUUUCUCUGCGCCUUAGUUUCCUGAUCUGAAAAAUGGAGAUGAGCAUAAUGAUACCUUGUCAGGCUGUCGUGAGGAUGAAUGGGACGACAAAAGGGAAGUGCUUAGAGUGGCUCCCGACAGUGCUCCAUAAAUGUCAGGUGCUGUAACCACUGUAACUGUUCUUUAAAUGAAAUAAGACCUUUAUAAAACAGUGGAUGCCCUUACUGAUAAAUUCUGGUAAUUGGGAAAAAAAAAGCUGAUCCAUUAACUGAAGGACUGGAAUUUGUACUUUGAAGACCUCCGCUGUGGGUGAUGAAGAGGCUUCAGUGUGACGAGUGAGGUGUGGCCUGCGUGGAGGGGUGCUGAACAUUUUGAGGUUUGAUGUGGCGCAGGCUUGAUUUAGAGACGGAAGUUGGGCGCUGGGCUCUGGAGAUGGGGCGCGUCUGUGCGAAAUCAUCCAGCGUGAUACAUUUGUUGCACUUGGAGGCAGUUCCUGGGAGGGUUGGGCAGGAGAAGUGCAGGACUUCGGCAGACUUGUCCGGGAACUUGAGUUCUGGUGAGGGAAAUGCAGCAAUACCACAGUACAUGCUGCCACAGAAGCAGCCUUGCAGGAGUUCCUGUAGUGGCUCAGUGGGUUAAGAAUCCGACACUAUCUCUGUAAGGAUGUGGGUUUGAUCCCUGACCUUGCUCAGCAGGUUAAGGAUCUGGUGUUGCCCCAGGCUUGGGCGUUGGUCACAGAUGUUGGCUGUGGUGCAGGUCUGCAGUUGCAGCUCUGAUUUGACCCCUAGCCUGGGAACUUCCAUAUGCUGCAGGUGAGGCUGUAAAAAGAAAAA
ensembl:lncRNA